rnacentral:rRNA from 1 species
GACGAACGCUGGCGGCGUGCUUAACACAUGCAAGUCGAACGGAAAGGCCCUGCUUUUGUGGGGUGCUCGAGUGGCGAACGGGUGAGUAACACGUGAGUAACCUGCCCCUGACUUUGGGAUAACUUCAGGAAACUGGGGCUAAUACCGGAUAGGAGCUCCUGCUGCAUGGUGGGGGUUGGAAAGUUUCGGCGGUUGGGGAUGGACUCGCGGCUUAUCAGCUUGUUGUUGGGGUAGUGGCUUACCAAGGCUCUGACGGGUAGCCGGCCUGAGAGGGGGACCGGCCAAGUUGGGUUUGAGAUGCGGCCCAGACUACUACGGGAGGCAGCGGUGGGGAAUGUUGCACAAUGGGCGGGAGGCUGAUGCAGCAACGCCGCGUGCGGGAUGACGGCCUGCGGGUUGGGUUCCGCUUUCGCCUGUGACGAGGCGUGAGUGACGGUAAUGGGUGAAGAAGCACCGGCUAACUACGUG